rnacentral:rRNA from 1 species
GUAGGUGGGGUAACGGCUCACCUAGGCGACGAUCCCUAGCUGGUCUGAGAGGAUGACCAGCCACACUGGAACUGAGACACGGUCCAGACUCCUACGGGAGGCAGCAGUGGGGAAUAUUGCACAAUGGGCGCAAGCCUGAUGCAGCCAUGCCGCGUGUAUGAAGAAGGCCUUCGGGUUGUAAAGUACUUUCAGCGGGGAGGAAGGGAGUAAAGUUAAUACCUUUGCUCAUUGACGUUACCCGCAGAAGAAGCACCGGCUAACUCCGUGCCAGCAGCCGCGGUAAUACGGAGGGUGCAAGCGUUAAUCGGAAUUACUGGGCGUAAAGCGCACGCAGGCGGUUUGUUAAGUCAGAUGUGAAAUCCCCGGGCUCAACCUGGGAACUGCAUCUGAUACUGGCAAGCUUGAGUCUCGUAGAGGGGGGUAGAAUUCCAGGUGUAGCGGUGAAAUGCGUAGAGAUCUGGAGGAAUACCGGUGGCGAAGGCGGCCCCCUGACAAGACUACG